CUUCACUGGCAACUGCUCUGAGCAGAUUGGUUAGAAAGUGGAGUCUGGGGGAGUAAUGUCCCUCCUGCUGCAUGCAAAGAUCAGGUUUGUGAUCAGCUGAGGAACCUGAACAUCUGAGCCUGUGUUGGCCUGGGAUCAGUGCACUCAUUCCAAGACAGUUAGUACAUUAUGUGGUUUGAAGACCUUCCCUGCUAGCUUUGAGAACUCCACAAAGCCUUUGGAAGAUCUGUGAGAAGGUAGGAGAGUCCCAUUGGAGCCAUGUAAUACUCCCGGAGGAUCUGCCUUCCACUCAGCUCAAAGUCACAAGCUCAGAUAAUGGCACAUUCCAGGCUAAUUGCUUCAGAGAACGGAAAACAGCAAAGAAAAAGCUGAAGUGAAAAACCUUUAAAAACCCUCAACUUUUCACAGUUGGGUCAGAAAGAAAGUGCUGUAAAGGAAUUACUGUCUUGACAAUGCUAGAUUACUUUCUCACUAGCAGACAACAGAAUGAUUUGAAAGUACUGUAUUGUGUACCAUACAGAAUAAUUCUGGAACUGUUCCACGUACUGGUGUGAAUGAACAAGAAAAUAAUCAAUCACUUCAUUUUUAUGAAUGCUACCUAUUUUGCAUACGUCUGUGGUUGUUUAUUUUUGGAAGUUAGGUGUGUAAUGGUGGCUUUGACUAACUCAUAUAUCAAUAUCUAAGUAUGGAUUUGCAAGAGCUUUAAGAAGAUGGGUCUUAGGAUUGUUAUUAUUUCAUGCAUAAAAAGUAUGAGGAACAGAGAUAGUUAAUGACACACCUUCUAAAUGACAUCUGGUAAAUGGAGGAACUGGAACUACACAUACUUACUGUCUUUUUCCUCACCAGUUUUUCUCCAGAUUUUUAGUUGCUUCUACUUUGGAACAUGUAAAUUCUAAGGAUUUUUUGAACCAUGUAUGCUAUUUUACAAUGCUAUUUCUUUCUUUGCAGUUUAAUAAAGUAAUUUAACUUGUUUCACACGUAUUUAGAGGUAAAGAUUCCAGCAAGUGGAGCCUGAACAUAGCACAAAAACUACUAGCAUCUUUUUCUGAAGUAGGUUGCUUAGGUGUUUUUGUUUUAGAGUGAAAUGAGUAUUUAACUAAAUAUCUUUAAUGAACUUUGCACAGAAAUGAAAACAGUAGGUCUCCUCUUUAAUGCUAGGUAAAAACAUAUUCUUUUAGAGAAGAUUGAUUUCUUUUCAAAUAUCUCCUAAUCAAAAGUUAAUUUCCAAAAUUUAAUGCUGAUGUUUACCACUAUCAAAAUAAUCAGUGAGCAUAAAUUUCCAAGAAUACAGGCAUGCACAUAGCACCUGAUCAUGUAGUGAGGUAGUAAGAAUCAUUGGACUUGAAAGAGGAAAAACCAGAGGAAGGAUCAUUUUUCAGACAGUCAACACUAAGCCACUUCUUCAUGUCCUACUCUUCAGGGAAAGGAGCUGAGAUACCUUCUUGUGUUGUCUAUGCAGAUACACCAAGAUUCAUAGCAGUCCCCUUAUAAUGACAAUGGUACUUACAUAAAGUGUUUUUCAGAAAUGUACUUCAGUACAAUUUAUGAACAUUUAAAAAAAUGGAGCAUCCGCCAUUUUCCAUGACUGUUUUAGUAGUCACCCAUAGCUACUCUUGUUUUCAUUUUUAACUUUGAACUGGUAUGUUGUGUAUUUUUUUAAAGUCAUUGGCUCUGGUUGUUUCUUUGACAUAUGCACUUCACUGAUAGGAAUGAAGAUGAAGGCCUUGCAGGAUAGCAAGAAUUCAGCGUGACCCUGACAAAAAUCCAUGCCCAAAUCCAUUAUCAGGCCUUUCUGCUAUGUCAUGCCAACACUUGACUCAGUAAGCCAUCUCUGGAUGAGAAUUUAGCUUCAAGGUUGUGUAUGUUUUAGUAAGAAAAAUAUGCAUUUCAACAUGUAAUAAGAAAGUUAUUUCUGUUUUAUGAUUCAUUGAAAGUUGACUUAGCUUUGCUUAGGAGUGAAAAAAGCAUUAUUGAGAGAGACUCUGAAAAAUACUGAAACAUGCAAUUGCAAGAAAUCCCUUUGAUUAUGAAAUCGUGUUUAUCCUGGAUAUGUCUAACAUGCAUAUAAUUUGAUUCAAGCUUAUCGCAAGCCAGAAUUAGAACAGCAGAUUGCUUACUUUUAGGGAGAAGUGUAAUCCAGGGCUUUACUGCUUACAUGAUUUGUGUAAUUAGAAAAGGGCCAUGGUUGAUGUCA